GCGGCUAUGGUGUAGUGGUUAGCAUUAAUGAUUUCCAUUCAUUAGAGCCUGGUUCGAUUCCUGGUGGCCGCA